UCCCUGGUGGUCCAGUGGCUAAGACUCUGCCCUCUCAAGACAGUGGAUCUGGGUUCGAUCCCUGGUCAGGGAA